AGUCGAGCGGUAGAGAGAAGCUUGCUUCUCUUGAGAGCGGCGGACGGGUCAGUAAUGCCUAGGAAUCUGCCUGGUAGUGGGGGAUAACGUUCGGAAACGGACGCUAAUACCGCAUACGUCCUACGGGAGAGAGCAGGGGACCUUCGGGCCUUGCGCUAUCAGAUGAGCCUAGGUCGGAUUAGCUAGUUGGUGGGGUAAUGGCUCACCAAGGCGACGAUCCGUAACUGGUCUGAGAGGAUGAUCAGUCACACUGGAACUGAGACACGGUCCAGACUCCUACGGGAGGCAGCAGUGGGGAAUAUUGGACAAUGGGCGAAAGCCUGAUCCAGCCAUGCCGCGUGUGUGAAGAAGGUCUUCGGAUUGUAAAGCACUUUAAGUUGGGAGGAAGGGCAGUAAAUUAAUACUUUGCUGUUUUGACGUUACCGACAGAAUAAGCACCGGCUAACUCUGUGCCAGCAGCCGCGGUAAUACAGAGGGUGCAAGCGUUAAUCGGAAUUACUGGGCGUAAAGCGCGCGUAGGUGGUUAGUUAAGUUGGAUGUGAAAUCCCCGGGCUCAACCUGGGAACUGCAUUCAAAACUGACUGACUAGAGUAUGGUAGAGGGUGGUGGAAUUUCCUGUGUAGCGGUGAAAUGCGUAGAUAUAGGAAGGAACACCAGUGGCG
rnacentral:rRNA from 1 species